UGGCAGGUAGCUCAAUGGAAGAGUUUUUGUCUGAUAUACAAAAGGUUACAAGUUCGAGUCUUGUCCUGCCAACUA
rnacentral:tRNA from 1 species